ensembl:lncRNA
GCGAGGACUCCCUCAAGGGCAUCUGCCUGCUGCCACAGUGUCUUCUGGGCCGGUUUGGUGAAUGUGAGGCCCGAGCGCGUAAUGGGGAGCGGCUUCGCGUCUGGCCUGCCCGCCGCGGCCUGAGACGCAUUGUGUGAGCAGCUGCUGGGGACCCUGUGGAGGACCCCGAUGCCCUCUGUCUGGUGGAGGUCUGGGAGCUGCUCUCAGCACCGGGGGCUGGUGUCCCGUCUGCUCCUUCGACGCCCUCGGUGCUCCUCAGAGGGAUUCUGAUCCUCAUGUAAACGUGGCCGGAGCUCCGUCUCAGGCUCCCUGGGAUGGCCACUGUGCUUAGGCAGCUGGGAACUGAGUGACGGGCCCGACGCUGCCUGGCUGGUGGAUGCGGAGCUGAUGUUCUCCGGCACCGAGGAGCUGUGGGAUGGCCUCAGUCCCUCCCGGCUGGCACUGCUGGAGCCGGCGUGCUCCAUGUUUGCGCUGGAGGCUGUAAGGGAAGGCGGGAAGGUCAGCGGGAUGAACCUGCAGCCCCCAGCUGCGACAGGCUGUCAUCCCUCCUGGGGCAGAGAGACUCAGAAAGCACCAUCAGCCAUUCCUACUCUGUCUCCUACAAAAGUCCAGGUGCUGUACCGUGUACCAGAGUUUCAGAGAGUUUCAACGAUAGGGGACUACUGCGCAGGGGUUACACUUGAUGAUUAUGAGCAAGCCACCAAGAGCCUGGUGAACGCUCUUCUCACUGGGGAAAAUUAUUCACGCCUUGUACACCGCCGCUUUAAGGACUCUGGCAACGCUGACCCGAGCACCCAAUGCCAGCCCUUGCCUGACCCCAACCCAGGGACUGAUGGAACUGUUUGCAUCUUACCGGUGCCCAGGCCAGCACAGCUGUCACACUCCCAGCUGUCUGCGGUGUCUGCCAAGGUGGAGCAGCGCCGGUGAGUGCCUUGAGCAGCACAGGAGCUGCAGAGGAUCAGCUGCCAGGGCCUGGGGAAGCCAAAGGGUUGUGGCUGUGAGGACAAAGGGAGCCAAGCCGGGGAGUGCCCGGCACAGGACAU